UUUAUUGGGUUUAAAGGGAGCGCAGGCCGCCGGGCAAGCGUGUUGUGAAAUGCAGUCGCUCAACGUCUGCACUGCAGCGCGAACUGCCCAGCUUGAGUGCGCGCAACGUUGGCGGAAUUCGCCGUGUAGCGGUGAAAUGCUUAGAUAUGGCGAAGAACUCCGAUUGCGAAGGCAGCUGACGGGUGCGUAACUGACGCUCAUGCUCGAAAGUGCGGGCAUCGAACAGGAUUAGAUACCCUGGUAGUCCGCACGGUAAACGAUGGAUGCCCGCUAUUCGGCCCUUGUGGUUGAGUGGCCAAGCGAAAGCGUUAAGCAUCCCACCUGGGGAGUACGCCGGCAACGGUGAAACUCAAAGGAAUUGACGGGGGCCCGCACAAGCGGAGGAACAUGUGGUUUAAUUCGAUGAUACGCGAGGAACCUUACCCGGGCUUGAAUUGCAGAGGAAGGAUUUGGAGACAAUGACGCCCUUCGGGGCCUCUGUGAAGGUGCUGCAUGGUUGUCGUCAGCUCGUGCCGUGAGGUGUCGGCUUAAGUGCCAUAACGAGCGCAACCCCUCUCCUUAGUUGCCAUCAGGUAAAGCUGGGCACUCUGGGGACACUGCCACCGUAAGGUGUGAGGAAGGUGGGGAUGACGUCAAAUCAGCACGGCCCUUACGUCCGGGGCUACACACGUGUUACAAUGGCAGGUACAGAGAGACGGUCCCUUGCAAAAUGGAUCAAAUCCUUAAAGCCUGUCUCAGUUCGGACUGGGGUCUGCAACCC
rnacentral:rRNA from 1 species